ensembl:lncRNA
CUGAUUGGGGAGGGUCUAAGGAACAUUCUGACCAAAUUUGGUCAGUUCUGCCAACGCUCUAGUGCCACCACCGGGUCAGAUUUUGGCCUAAUUUGAAAGUACUUUUAUGGUCCUAUCUUCUGAACUGUGUGUCCAAAAUUGAAAAGACUAGAUUCCCUGGGUCGAGACGAGUUAAACGCAUCAUAUCAUGUCAAUUUUCAGCCAUCUUGGAUUUUUUUUAAAUGUUUUUUUUUUUUUUUUGCUACUCCUCCUAUACAUUUUGUCUAAUCAUUGCAAAUUUGACAGACGUCAUCUUCAGAGUAAGCCUCACAAACAUAUCGAAAUAAUUUUUAAUAGUCCAAACGGUUUGCCUGUAAUGGGCCAAUGAAUCUGACAGUUAAGUUGCCAAACAGGAAGUGAGGCUGCAUCUCAAACUUUGUAGGCAUCUACCAACAGUGCCACCUAUAAGUCAAAAGCUACAAUAACAGUAGAUUCGUCCAAUUAGUUUUCUAUAUAAUUUUUUUUUUUUCUGGAAUAUUCCUUAAACAUCAUCCAACAAAACGAAAAAGCCUAAGACAUACCUUCUCAUAACUUGCAGAUUUUUCAUUUUGCUGAGUGUGGAAGAGCUGAAUGCCAUUCCAUCCGUUUUCAUCUGAACACUUGACUAUUAAAAAAGCGGUGCAACAUUUAUAGCAAUACAUCAACAAGAGUAAACAUGGCUCGUUAAUGAACAGCACAAUCAUCUCAAGAAUUAGAUCUGACUUAAUGCACUUCUUUUGUCCCUUGAGAAUACUAAUGAGUUGAAAGUCAUUAUUGCAUUUGACAAAUGAUUACAUCUUUUAUUCAUAAAGCUCGAUCCAGACAGCAUAUGCACUUGGCUUUAAGGCACACGAACGACUAACAUCUCAAACGAACACAACAACAAAAAUGCUUGUUAUAAAAUUUUAUUUGGAAUAAAACCAUAUUACAUGUAGUGUGGUCAGCCUACACAAUCUACCUCAGAUAAGAACACCACAGCUCGGUGGACGUGAAACAGCACAAAAAAAAUUAACAUCGGGACCUGGACUUACGAGAUGCUGACCUGAGAUCAGUCCUUUUAUCGAUGGAGGAGACAAACCUGGUCUCAGAUCAGCACUCGGAGAUAUCUGGCGCGUCCAAAACCCCGCAGUCGGGGACACAUCGGACAGGUCAUAGUAGUGUUAAUGCUUCACUGGGAAAAGCACAAACUACACCAUGUAGAAAAAAUUAAAAAGCUAUGAAAAAAAUUCACAGACCAACCACAGAAUUUUAUGUUUACCUUUUCUUUUCUUUUCUUUUUUAAAUCGUUGACUUUUCAUUUUCAGCCUUAUCUGUCAAUCUUGAUCUUCAUCCCUGAUCUUAUUAAAUAAGUGAUCUCAAGGAACGUUAUUUAAAAUAUAGCAUUUGUGGCUUUAGGUUUCUGUUUGUGGUUUUGCGAAAGAAAAAUAAUGACAAAAAAAACAAAAAAACAACACAAAUCUCGCAAAUGAACGCUGUUAAGUCUGAGGUAGCAAGGCAAUCAUGGCUUUCUUCUGAUUUGAUUUGACUUUAGAAAACUAUUCGACUCAAAGAGGAAAAAAAUAAUAAUAAAAUUUUGUCGAAUCUGAAUUUAGAGCUCUCUAUAUUUCCGUCUCGUAAAUCCUCUCCUUGGAAUGGAUGCUGUAUAGGCACACAGGGCUAAAACAUCUCGGCAUUCCUGAACAUGUACAGUAUUUACACAAGGGGGGCGGGGUAUGGUUUCGAACAGGAACUUGUUUUCCACAACAGUAAAUGUAAUUAUAAGCGGAUAAAAAGUACGAGGUGUCACUCUUUAAUAAAAUUAUUAUUAUUAUUAUUAUUUUUUAAAAAGGUUAACGUUGGCAAAUUGCUGUGGCGUCGGAAGAGCAACGGAGCACUCAGCACGUACCGUUAUCGGAAUGAUUUUUUUUUUCCAAGAACAGCCAACCAGUUCGCGGGUGACGGCACGGAUUACGCUGUAAACACGAGAAACACAGCAGAGGGAUGCAUUCUGGGAAGAAACAUGCAUUUAUCAGUAUGAGGUGAUUCAUUAAGGGGCAAAACACGAGUGGUCUUCAUUCCCAGCUACAACAUUUGUUUUUUGUUUUUUUUUAUAAAUAUCUGAGAAACGUGAAGGAGGUAAACGGAGGUUCCCGGAGCGCGUGCACAAAAAUAGAAAUAAAAGCUGAACAGGUUAUACGUUACGAAGCCCCCGUUAGCCGAAAUAUCAUCGUGUUGUUCGUACAAAUCCCAAGCAAAAACCCAAAUCAGGUUCGAUCUACAUGUUCACAGAAUUUACAAUUGCAUAGUACAGACAGACGGGUUGAUGGACGUGGUGGUCGGGAAUUCGUGGUGGAAUUGUGGCUGGAUCGAGGACGAUGCAAGGAACUCCGGGUUGGCCAUCUUCGUCUGGGAGAGCGGGGACUUCGCCACAUCACGCACCGCGUCAUCGACGCUUCUUACUUCGACGUCAUUAGCAGCCCUCACAUCGCCUAAAUACACACACACACACAAUCAGCUAAUAAAACUUCUGGGUUUUAGAAUGAUAACAGAAAUGACAAUUAUGGCUACGUCCACAUUAAUCCGAAAACCGCAUUUCUUUUUCAAACGCUCUCCGUCUGCAUUGGCGUCUUCAACGGUUUCCCAAAAAUUCCUCGUCCACACUAAAACGUCAGAAAACGCGCACAUCCCUAUACUGUGCGUGCAUGCGUAAAUACGUAAGCAGCUCCGGUCUGCGUCAUUUCUGUCAGGUGUUUAUUUAAAAAUGCAAUCUUUAAUGACGUUAACGACGCUGGUACAACAACUGUAAUCAAACAUCAGCCACCAUCUUGGUUGUUUCGAGUUGAAUUGGUCACAUGACUGCGUCACAUGACAUAAAAGAAAAAAUAUGGUCAUCGUUUUAGAUUAUCUCAGUUUUCGAAUGAACGUUUUGGGCAGAACGCCAAAAUGUCGAGAAAAACACUCGUUUUCAAAUGUAUUAAACGGAUGAACGUGGACGUAGCCUUAGUAAAACAUGAGAAUUUUGUGGCCCAAAUUCAAGAAAUGUGAUAGAAGUGUAAACAUCAGCUGUUUUAAGAAAUUCCCCAAACGCUGCUAUCGUUUCUUGAUGGUUGUUAUUUCCGGACGUUCGUACAAAGCGGUGUUGAUGCGUCCUGUGAACAAACUUGCCAGAAGUUUUAAAAUUUGAUCACAAUUAGCAUGUUACACCGACUGCUAGCAUGAGACGGAAGAUUUUCUUUUCUUCCUCGUGGAUUACUAGCCACAUGUAGCAUGGAAAGGUUGGGAAUAAAAACAGACACAAUGCAGAUGAGCAACCCCUUGUGGUCAAAGUUGGAAUGCCAUGCUAAUUAAAUUACCAUUUUAAAAAAAUGGAGGAAAUUCUCUUUUUUCCUAUUAGUUUGUUCAUUUAUUUAUUUUAUUACUUGAUUCAUUUAUUUAAUUAUUGUUAUUUAUUUUUAUGUAGCCCUCCACCACCACUCUGCUGCUCCCACAGCACUAAACUGAAAACUAAUUAGUCUUUAAAAUGCAAUCCAGUGCAGGUGAUAAAGGAGAAGUCUGCUUCACACACUCUUUUACACAGAGUUCUGGGGAAAGCGGUGCUUUAACUGGCGGCGUAUGUCUUUGUUUUCUCCUUUACACACUGCCGUGAUGAAAGCGGCACUUUAAAAGCUUUAAUGAAUGAUUGUUUAAUGGAAGGAAGAUAAACCAGGGCAUGAGCGAGGAAAAAAAAAAAAAAAAAAAAAAAAAAAAAAAGCACAGACGCCCAUUUGAACACUCUCACACACUCAGGACGGUUCUGCAGGAUCACACUGACUCGAGCAGACAGGUUUAAUUAAAUAUCUGCUCAGCAGUGAGAGACUGCGGGACUGAGCACCCUCCGUCGUUGUACAAUUAACCAUUACUGACUGUUGUAAGAGACAGAGAGAGAGCGCGCGAGAGAGAGUGUAAGAGACAGAGAGAGACAAUUAAAAGAAAGACACAAAGAAAGAGAGAGACAGCAAGAGAGACAGAGAGAGAAAAAAGACGAGUGAGACAGAGAGAGAGAGAGAAGUGAGAAUGAGAGAUGGAGACAGAGAGAGAGAGUGAGAGAGAAGUGAGAAUGAGAGUCAGGAGAGAGAGAGACAGAGAGGUGAGAAUAAGACAGACAAGGAGAGAGAGAGAGAGAGAGAGAGAGAGAGAGAGAGAGAGAGAGAGAGAGAGAGAGCAAGAGAGACAGAGAAAGAGAGAGAGCGAGAGUGAGAAUAAGACAGACAAGAAGAGAGACAGAGACAGAGACAGAGAGAGAGAGAGAGAGAGAGAGAGAGAGAGAGAGAGAGAGAGAGUGUACCUGCAGUGGGCAGUACUGACCAGUCUCUUCCAUGGGAAGUUGGCAAGGUUUGCUCAAAAUGUCGACAGAUUUGUCGCUAGCUGCUUUUUGAAAGUAAAAAAAAAAGUCGUUAAAGGGGUCUGGGAAGUGGACCAGCGCGGUCUCUGUCACAGUGUGUGUGUGUGUGUGUGUGUGUGUGUGUGUGUGUGUGUGUGUGUGUGUGUGUGUGUGAAGUGGGGUGUCAUAUUUUCAGUGAAAGGAUGUAUUCAUAAACACUUUUUUUUGCGAUUUCGUAUUUUUUGACUUUUAUUAUUUCAAACACUUUUUAAGUGCCACUAGAUUUUUUUUUUUUUUUUAAUGCUAUUUUCAAGGUUUUGAGUAUUUACAUUUCAAAAAGCCAAACUCAAGCACCUUGUACGAAUCCUGGAAGAAUGAUUCAACAUCACACACACACACCCCCACACACAAAUCCAAACACACACAGCAUCUCCAAGGCCAUGAUGGACCGAUCCAAUCCAGCCUAAUGUGGGGGGAAGGGGGCUCUGUUGGAGCUCCUUUGCUGGAGAAGCGAGGUUAAAAUCCAUUCCACAUCCAGACAGGCUCAGCGAGAAAGCUUAUUGAUCACUACCGCUAAUCGUCUCCAGACGUGUUAGAG